rnacentral:rRNA from 1 species
UACGUAGGGUGCAAGCGUUGUCCGGAAUUAUUGGGCGUAAAGAGCUCGUAGGCGGUUUGUCGCGUCUGCUGUGAAAACGCGAGGCUCAACCUCGCGCCUGCAGUGGGUACGGGCAGACUAGAGUGCGGUAGGGGAGAUCGGAAUUCCUGGUGUAGCGGUGGAAUGCGCAGAUAUCAGGAGGAACACCGAUGGCGAAGGCAGAUCUCUGGGCCGUAACUGACGCUGAGGAGCGAAAGCGUGGGGAGCGAACAGG